UAACACAUGCAAGUCGAGCGAGGAGAGUCCUUCGGGAUGAUCCUAGCGGCGGACGGGUGAGUAACACGUGGGCAACCUGCCUCAUAGAGAGGAAUAGCCUUCCGAAAGGGAGAUUAAUACCUCAUAACAUGCAGUUUCGCAUGGAACAGCAAUUAAAGGAGUAAUCCGCUAUGAGAUGGGCCCGCGGCGCAUUAGCUAGUUGGUGAGGUAAUGGCUCACCAAGGCGACGAUGCGUAGCCGACCUGAGAGGGUGAUCGGCCACAUUGGGACUGAGACACGGCCCAGACUCCUACGGGAGGCAGCAGUGGGGAAUAUUGCACAAUGGGGGAAACCCUGAUGCAAGCAACGCCGCGUGAGUGAUGACGGCCUUCGGGUUGUAAAGCUCUGUCUUCAGGGACGAUAAUGACGGUACCUGAGGAGGAAGCCACGGCUAACUACGUGCCAGCCGCAGC
rnacentral:rRNA from 1 species